rnacentral:rRNA from 1 species
ACGGAGGGUGCAAGCGUUAUCCGGAAUCACUGGGUUUAAAGGGUGCGUAGGCGGCUUGAUAAGUCAGGGGUGAAAGCUUCCCGCUCAACGGGAGAACUGCCUUUGAUACUGUCAGGCUCGAAUUGGGUUGAGGCAGGCGGAAUGUGGCAUGUAGCGGUGAAAUGCUUAGAUAUGCCAUAGAACACCGAUUGCGAAGGCAGCCUGCCAAGCCUUGAUUGACGCUGAGGCACGAAAGCGUGGGGAGCGAACAGGAUUAGAUACCCUGGUAGUCCACGCCCUAAACGAUGUUUACUCGACGUCCGGGCCCUGAGUCCGUGCGUCCAAGCGAAAGCGUUAAGUAAACCACCUGGGGAGUACGUUCGCAAGAAUG